UAGCUCUCAAACGGUCAUGCCAGAGCCUCACGCCCUCGAGUUCUUCACUUUUUCAGUUUCGUUUUUUUGUUUCAAUCUUUUGAUUCUUCUCUCCAGUGCCUCAAACGUUCUGGAUCUCAAACGUUCCCCUCUUCCCCAAUCAUCAAUUAGACUUCAGUUCCUUUCUUCCUCAAUCAUAAAUCCACUUUCAAUUUCGAUCCGAUUCUUCUUGGGCGAAGUAUCGAACUCCCUGUCUUGAAUCUGCCUCUUCUAGAAGCACCAUGAGCUCAAGGCCAAGGAUGAGAAGACCCUCCUCGUUGGUGGGAAGCCAGUCGCCGUCUUUGGGCUUAGAUUAUUAAAUAUUUCAACAAUGAAGCUUUUGAAGCUGAUAAAUUUGAUGAGUACUUGAAGAGUGCAUUCGAAAUUGAGUAAAUGGCUUCAUGCAAACACAAGUCCAUCUGUUUUUAUUUAUCUACAAUAAUCAGGGUUGCAGACUCUAGAGGGCAGCAUCCCCACUCAAAGCAGAAGUUUCCAGAUGCAUCAGCAACAUAUUGUCAUAGUUUGAGCAUCACAAAAUGGAUUCAUCUGAAUUGGGGUGAUGAUGGCUUACUUACACUAUUUUCAAAGAUAUGAAGACUACUUCGUAUGCAGGGUGGCAUUUUUGUGCUGGAACCUCAACCCUGGAAGUGUUGUGAUAAAAAUCAUAAAGUUUCUAAGGUAAUGUUUUCCUCCUUUUUAUUAUUUGUGUUCUGGGUUUUCAAGAAGCGAUUUUGUACCAAUCUCUUAUAGCUCUUAUAGUAUGUCAGGUCUCAACUUCUUUUUUGUCUAAUGUAUUUGGGCUGAAGCAUUUUUUUAUCUCACUUUGCAGGCAACAAGAACCAAUUAUCAAAACUGAUAUUCCAUCUGCAGUUGUUUCAUAAUAUAUUUCUAGAUAAUGUAUUUGAGUUUUUUUUUUCCCCCAUAUCGAAAUGGCUCCAACGGCCUUGAUUUUUUCCAUAUCAAAAAGGCUCCAAUGGCCUUGAUUAC